GCUCCCUACGGGGCGCAGCAGUGAGGAAUAUUGGUCAAUGGGCGGGAGCCUGAACCAGCCAAGUCGCGUGAAGGAAGAAGGUACUUAGUAUUGUAAACUUCUUUUGUCGGGGAACAAAGGCGGAGACGCGUCUCCGGAUGAGUGUACCCGAAGAAAAAGCAUCGGCUAACUCCGUGCCAGCAGCCGCGGUAAUACGGAGGAUGCGAGCGUUAUCCGGAUUUAUUGGGUUUAAAGGGUGCGUAGGCGGUAUUUUAAGUUAGUGGUAAAACGUCGGGGCUUCACCUUGAUUGGCCAUUAAAACUGGA
rnacentral:rRNA from 1 species